rnacentral:rRNA from 1 species
CCUACGGGUGGCAGCAGUGAGGCAUAUUGGUCAAUGGAAGAGAGUCUGAACCAGCCAAGUAGCGUGAAGGAUGACUGCCCUAUGGGUUGUAAACUUCUUUUAUAUGGGAAUAAAACGUUCCACGUGUGGGAUUUUGUAUGUACCAUAUGAAUAAGGAUCGGCUACCUCCGUGCCAGCAGCCGCGGUAAUACGGAGGAUCCGAGCGUUAUCCGGAUUUAUUGGGUUUAAAGGGAGCGUAGGUGGAUUGUUAAGUCAGUUGUGAAAGUUUGCGGCUCAACCGUAAAAUUGCAGUUGAAACUGGCAGUCUUGAGUACAGUAGAGGUGGGCGGAAUUCGUGGUGUAGCGGUGAAAUGCUUAGAUAUCACGAAGAACUCCGAUUGCGAAGGCAGUUCACUGGACUGCAACUGACACUGAGGCUCGAAAGUGUGGGUAUCAAACAGGAUUAGAUACCCUUGUAGUC